rnacentral:lncRNA from 1 species
UGUUAAUCAAGAAGGUGUUUAACACUAAUUAAUCCAUAAUUAGGUGUUAAACACAGUGACUUGUGCAGCAAGCAACGAGUUCGAAUUCAAAUUAAAGAGAAGAGAAGGAAGAGGAAAGCAACGGCUAGUUUGACCAAGGAGGAAGACCGUACGGACGCGCUAAGGAGUGGUCCUCGUCCUCUUGUGCGAGCUGUCCCAUUUUGUCCUAUUAGUGAGCUGUCUCUAGCUAGGGUAACUAAAGGUGUGUGUAAAAGGCUGAAUAAGGAUGCAAUGGUGUCUAUGUGCAUAACCUAUUCAGACCUAGAGAUUGUCUAUAUAAACACACAUCCGCUACUCAUCUAUGUGAUACACUUACACUUUUUCAAUACAUUUUCACGAUUCUUCUCUACAUUUAAACAUGGUUCUCUUUCAUUUCUUUCCUCCCUAAAUCUUUCUCAAUCUUGGUUACUAGUCUUGAUUCGAUUCUUUAG